UACGUAGGGCGCGAGCGUUGUCCGGAAUUAUUGGGCGUAAAGAGCUCGUAGGCGGCUUGUCACGUCGGGUGUGAAAGACCGGGGCUUAACUCCGGUUCUGCAUUCGAUACGGGCUAGCUAGAGUGUGGUAGGGGAGAUCGGAAUUCCUGGUGUAGCGGUGAAAUGCGCAGAUAUCAGGAGGAACACCAAUGGCGAAGGCAGCUCACUGGGACGGUAUUGACGCUGAGACGCGAAAGCGUGGGGAGCAAACAGG
rnacentral:rRNA from 1 species